CAAAUCAUCAUGCCCCUUAUGACCUGGGCUACACACGUGCUACAAUGGACAGAACAAAGGGUAGCGAAACCGCGAGGUUAAGCCAAUCCCACAAAUCUGUUCUCAGUUCGGAUCGCAGUCUGCAACUCGACUGCGUGAAGCUGGAAUCGCUAGUAAUCGCGGAUCAGCAUGCCGCGGUGAAUACGUUCCCGGGCCUUGUACACACCGCCCGUCACACCACGAGAGUUUGUAACACCCGAAGUCGGUGAGGUAACCUUUUAGGAGCCAGCCGCCGAAGGUGGGACAGAUGAUUGGGGUGAAGUCGUANCAAGAGGCC
rnacentral:rRNA from 1 species